UCCUAUGUAGGAGGCAGCAGAGACUCUGCUCUCCUCGUUUGGAUUAAUUCUGAUAUAAUAACUGUUGGUUUAUUUAUCGGUGGAGCAGCAGAACCUUUUCCACAGACAGUUUUCCUGCCCGUUGGCUUGUUUUAACCAGUUUUCUGCCUCCAGCUGAUUCUACCAGCAGACACUGAAAAGACUCUGAUAGUUCGAGUGAAAGUAACAGUUCCUCCUGAAGGUCAGAGAUCGCAGCAUCUGAGGGCCUCUUCAAAAGAAGAUGUAGUUGAUGAAGGCGUUCUGGAGCAGGACCAGAAAGACCACGACCAAGCAGCCUUGAGAUCUUAGGCAGCAUCUCCCUCAGGUCCCUCUCUAUCUCCCCACACAUCCACCAACCACUGGAACACAUCUCCAAAGUUCUGCCGGGCCAGCUCAGCUUCCCCUCAGAAGAAGUGGCGCCACCUGCCAGAUGAAGGAGCCUUUUGAGAGGCAGCUGGCAUCGUGAUUGGACUGUACUUUGGUCUGUUCCAAUCCAGCUUCAGCUCCAGAGACGGCAGGCGGGACGAGUCAACGGAGGCCGGGUGGACGAAGUCAUGCAGCUGAGUACAAUCCAGAAAACAACAGAGGAGGAGUGCAGGGCCAGAACAAACAGAGUAGCAUCGUAUGUCUCUUAGAAAACAUCAUAGUAUAGCCUUUGGUAUGAAAAAAACGGCAUCAUAUACAUUGUAUAUUGUACAAAUAACAAGUGAAAGCAAAGAGACAUACAUUGUAGAAUUGUAGUAAUUGUGGGCUGACUGAUUUAUUGAUUAUCGGUAUUUUAUUUUUUACUGAUUUACAGUAAUAAAUACAUUUAAAAAUGG